AACCUGGUUGAUCCUGCCAGUAGUCAUAUGCUUGUCUCAAAGACUAAGCCAUGCACGUCUAAGUACAAACUAAAUGAUGGUGAAACUGCAAAUGGCUCAUUACAACGGUUAUGAUGUACCCGGGAGUUCCGAUGGAUAUUUCCAGUAACACUAGAACUAAUACAUGCUCCUGCGUUUAUUAGUUCCGCACAGUCCGUCGCUGAGUCAUGGCAAACAGUUGAUCGACUCGACGUCCCGGAACAGUUUCCGCCCCAUCAGCUUCGAUGGUUGGGUAUUGGCCUACCAUUGCAACAACGGGUAACGAGGAGUUAGGGUUUGAUUUCGGAGAGGGAGCCUGAGAAACGGCUACCACAUCUACGGAUGGCAGCAGGCGCGCAAAUUACCCAAUGCAGACACUGUGAGGUAGUGACGAGAAAUAAAUAAAGCGGGACUUCUGUUUCGCUAUUAUAAUGAGGAAUAACCCAAGGUCAUUCCGAUUA
rnacentral:rRNA from 1 species